ACCUCGCUGGCUCAGCUGUCAGAGCAUACGACUCUUGAUCUUGGGGUCAUGAGUUCGAGCCCCAUGUUGGGCA
rnacentral:tRNA from 1 species